CGUGAGGUGAAAGAUCCGUCGGUCCGGGAUGGGCAUGCGGCGCAUUAGCUUGUUGGCGGGGUAACGGCCCACCAAGGCGACGAUGCGUAGGGGUUCUGAGAGGAAGGUCCCCCACACUGGUACUGAGACACGGACCAGACUCCUACGGGAGGCAGCAGUGAGGAAUAUUGGUCAAUGGACGCGAGUCUGAACCAGCCAAGUCGCGUGCGGGAUGAAGGCCCUCCGGGUCGUAAACCGCUUUAGCCGGGGAGUAACGUGCGGGACGCGUCCCGCAGUGAGAGUACCCGGAGAAUAAGCAUCGGCUAACUCCGUGCCAGCAGCCGCGGUAAUACGGAGGAUGCGAGCGUUAUCCGGAUUUAUUGGGUUUAAAGGGUGCGCAGGCGGCGCGUCAAGUCAGCGGUCAAACUGCGGGGCUCAACCCCGUAUCGCCGUUGAAACUGGCGAGCUGGAGUUCGUGCGACGGAGGCGGAAUGCGCGGUGUAGCGGUGAAAUGCAUAGAUAUCGCGCAGAACCCCGAUUGCGAAGGCAGCUUCCGAGCACGCGACUGACGCUCAUGCACGAAAGCGUGGGUAUCGAACAG
rnacentral:rRNA from 1 species